GACGAACGCUGGCGGCGUGCUUAACACAUGCAAGUCGAACGGAAAGGCCUUUUCGGAGGUACUUGAGUGGCGAACGGGUGAGUAACACGUGGGUGAUCUGCCCUGCACUCUGGGAUAAGCCUGGGAAACUGGGUCUAAUACCGGAUAGGACCGCACUUUAGUGUGUGUGGUGGAAAGUUUUUUCGGUGUAGGAUGAGCCCGCGGCCUAUCAGCUUGUUGGUGGGGUAAUGGCCUACCAAGGCGGCGACGGGUAGCCGGACUGAGAGGUUGGUCGGCCACAUUGGGACUGAGAUACGGCCCAGACUCCUACGGGAGGCAGCAGUGGGGAAUAUUGCACAAUGGGCGCAAGCCUGAUGCAGCGACGCCGCGUGGGGGAUGACGGCCUUCGGGUUGUAAACUCCUUUCGCCAGGGACGAAGCGUUUUGUGACGGUACCUGGAGAAGAAGCACCGGCUAACUACGUG
rnacentral:rRNA from 1 species